GUUCUGUUGGCUGUGUGGGACUGGCCGGGAGUAGCAAGGGGUUGGGAAGUCCUGACCGAAGGCAGACUCUGGGGAGGCUGGAAGCAGAGUCGUGCCCCGCGUACCCCGGCAGAGCUGCCCUCAUCGGGCCCCUCCGGAGGCUGUUCAGAGCCUUUGCCCACGGCUCCGACCUUUGGAGAAGUUGUACCCGUCAGCACCUGCUGAGGGCUUCGUUGAUCAAAAAAAUCAGGGGCACCCUUUCAGAUAGGAACAUGGACCUUAUUGGCAUCAUCUUGUAUCCAUGGAAACAUUUUAAGUACCUUUCUCUCAAUAUGUACUUCGCUUAUUCAAGGAUCAAGAGCUGAGUACCAAAUAACAAAAUGAAGAUGUUGGCUUAAUGAAGAACUGAGACAUACAAAGAGAUGGCCUGCAUCAGCCACUUCAGCAUCUCCCAGCACAUAAGUAUAAGCAAAAGUGUUGAUUCCACGGGAAAUUUUUUUUGGUUGUAACGUAGGAGAACCAAGAACUGAAUUACAAAAAGGAAGAAAAACUGAUUGAGUGUGGUUUUAAUGUAAUCAAUGUUGGAAAGAGGGUGCCACAUCCUAGGAUAGAGCAUCAAAGAAAUCACUCUACAUGGGAAACUUCUGUACCUGCAUGUGAUCUUCCCAUGCAUGGUAUAAUGCCAUUGUCACGGAGAUCCAAGAUUUCAUAACCUGGAUACAAUGCUGCUUGGCUGGCAGCCUUCUCACUAACAAAGAAAUAAGAUUGGACGGACAUUCUUCACCCGGCGCAAAAAGAGUGGCACUAUUCCUUGUUCCUUCUGAUCGCCGCUUGUGUAAAUAUAGAAAUUUGAAUUCAAGCCAUUCACUCCAUUGUUGGUUGUUUUAAGGUCACUACAUUUAUGCCUUUAAAUGAAAACUUUUAAAAGAGUAAUUUAUAAUUAUAGGCAGCAAUAUUCUUAUUUAAUUAUAUGCCAGUGUAGCCUUUGUAACUCUUAAGAACUGAGAAUUUAAAUGUACUUAAAGUGUGUGCAUUGGGGUGCUUCUGAAUAAUUUCUUGCUACUAGUCCACGCCAGCUUGGAAUUUCACAUCCUUGAACAGAUUGACUGGUUUGGCUUGUGUAAUAGGUGUCCUGGACUGCUGUUUUGGACUACUUUGUGAAUGGGUGGAGGUAGCUGCCUUUGAAAAUGCCAGUUGGUUGCUAACUGUAACAAAUCAGAUUUAUGUGUGAGUGGAGAAGGUAGAAGUACCUAUGUAAAGUAAAAUGAAUCUACUGACAUGGCCUGGGAUAGACCAUGGAACUAGAAAGGAUGCUUUCCAAAUUACCCAGGACUUGGUUUUCAGGCCAUUGACAAGGUUUCUGGCAGGGGUUUUGGGAAAUUGGUAGGAAUGCUAGAGGUGGUUGGCUGCAUCUACAGGUAAACCAGCUCUGCAGGAAUGUUGUGUUGGGAGUCCACAUAUUGCAAGGAAAUCACUCUUUUUAUAAGGGUAUUGAAUUGCCUGUCAUCUUUUUGCUUUCUAAACAGGAGAGAAACGUCCAUGGGAAGUCUAGAAAAGGGGAGUUUGAUUCAAAAUCUCAAUAUAACAUUCUCCUGUGUUAUUACACAUACUGUAUUUCAUUGGAUAAAAUCUGGUGAUUUUUUGUCUUUCCAUUUGGAGAGAAAGCACGUACUGGUAUCUGGUGUUAUUUAAGUACCAACAUAGUUGAAGUUUGGGUGAGUUAUUUGCUUUCAAAAAAAAUACAUCAAAACAAAAUGCAUUAGUUUUUAAUUAACUCUUGCAUGGGAAAGAGCAUUUGUGGUGUUAUUGUUGUGAGAAGUAUCUUUAUCUUGGAGUUACUAUGAUAUUUAGCAGACUUAUAAAAGAAAGACUUAAAAACAGGCUCCCCUGAUAGCUUAAUGAGCUGACUUCUGCCAAACCCAGCAAGUCUGGUCAGAAAUAUUUGCAGUCCUCCCAGGCUGGGACAGGCUGCUUGAGAUCCUAUAGGGCACUGCUGGGCGCAUACAGCACAUUCCUGAGUUUACAGGCCCUAUACUAUAUUUCAUGCAGCUCUUAUUUCUGUGGCUAUGACCUGUUGCUGACAGUCAAGCCACUAUGUAAACAUGAAGGACUUCAAACUCACAGUGCUUUCCAGAGCAAGUGGUCAUUUGUUCCAAUUUCCCAUGACCACAUUAUUGCUUGUGUUUGCUUCUCAGGAAAAUACAACAAUUUGUAGCAAUAGUACUAGACAAGGAAGAGGGGCUGCACUGCAAAUACAGGUUGCAUUAGUAUGUGUUAUUAAAUGUGCCAAGAGGAUAAUAUUAUGUUAUCCCCGUUUUCAGCAGUUGAAAUGUUCUCCUUAUUAAAACAAAAAUUGUUCAAAAAUUCAAAGUAAUGUAGCCAAAAUCCAACUUAGGAAAUACCUUAUUUAGCUAUUAGCAAGAGGAUAUGACUUUUAAACUCCGUCUGUGACACCAAUUUCUCCACUGGUGCCAUUCAAAUUUUUUUUUUUCAUUGCACUUAUAGAUCUAUCCAGAAAGAGGGAAAAAUAGUGUUAGAAAGUGAUUUACAUUACAGUGGAUUUUACUGCACCUUGGCAUUGCAAAGGAAUCUUUGAAACAGUUGAAAACUACAUAAGGAGCAAGUCAGUUUCUAAUUCACAGAAGAAAAUAUUCUGAGGUAAGUGAGGUAACCAAAACAUUGUGGCUUAAAGAGUAUUCUGAGCAAAUGCUGUUUCAGCUGUCUCAAUCCACAAAAUACUGUUAGAACAGACCUGUAGUAAAGAACACUCACAGCCUUUUUUACCUGAAAAUAUUAAUUCACCCAGGUGGCUGAUGCACAGAAUUAAUGAAUUAGUACAGAUUUUGUUUGCAGAAUCAGAGAUUUGCAUCUAUUAGUGUGAAGCAAUAAAAGAGAGACUGAUUUGACAUCUGUAAUGAAAUGUAAAUAUGAGACAGCUAGUCUGAAGUUAGUGAGGUUUCUUUGGCUUUAUAUCCCUGUUGCUAAAAAUAGAAACUGACAGUCUAUUUUUAGAUAAUCCAGAGCUGUUGUAGGUUGGAACCUUCCAACCAUGUUACCUACUGCCUUCAUGAAAAACCUCAAACAUAUUUGAAAACACGAUUAAUUUUAAUACAGUUUGGAAUAAUCCUUUACAUACAAAAAUGCCAUGGAUUUCAGGAGACUGUUUCCUGUCAUACUUAAUUGCUGAUGGAUAAAGGUCUUUUAUCUCUGCAGAAUCUUUAAGACAAGCCCUACUUAUGCCACAGAAAUUAUUUUCUUGAAAAGCGCCAUAGUAUUUAAUAGAGCUAAUCUCUAAACUGAUGUGUUUACUGUGUAAACUCAAAUAUGUUGAUACUGCUGAUUAUUUGUCCUGUCUGCCUCAAACUAAAACCAACCAGAACAAAGAAGACCAAGUGUUAGCAACAAAGCCGAUGGAAAUUUCUUUUUUCCUUUUCAAUAGUUGUACAGCAAGAAGAAAGAAGCAAGAGGUGGUAUGGGAAGGAAAUGCUCCUCUUUGUGGGGAACCCACCUGCAUGUAUCCAUUUGAAUGUACUCAGGCAGAAACAGCAGGCAGGGCAACUAAUCUUCUCAGGCCUAGCAAAUAAGUAUAAAAAGCCUAUCUUUAUCCAAACAGAUCAUCUAUAUUCUGGAAAUUUCCACCAUGAUUCUUUCUGAAGUCCUAAAGUGCAGAGCAGCAGGAUCAGUAAUUGUUACGGGAUAGCAGUGGCUGUAAAGUCGUCCAUGCUGAAAAACCAGGGCAAUUUAUUCAAUCAACAUGAGUGAUCCAUGUCAUUAUCAAUUUGUUUGAACUUUAUAACAGUGGUUUGGGGUGUUUUAGUUUUUAGGCGUGGGGGAGGUUGUUGUUGGUUUGGGUUUUUUCCUGAAUUCUUUGUAUUUUCCAUUGCUUGUCAGAGAUCAGCUGUUGUCAGGGAAAGUUUGACAUGAAUUACAGUGGCUGUGGGUAUCACAGGCAGCAUUUGGUCUUACCUUGGUGCUACUUGUAAUUUGAGGAGACUUGAGCUUUUAAGAUAUUGAGGUUUUUUUUGCUGGGGCAGGCAGAAGGGGAGAGAAGGAUAUAGGGGGGAAAAUUAAAACAAAAUAACAAAAGAAGGCAGGAAGCCAGUGAAAUUUUAUUAAAUUAGCAGCACUGCAAUCCCCAGUUUUUCAGAAAUAUCAAAUUAGAUCCUCAAACAUAAGGUUGGCUCAGAAUAAAAUAAAAGGAAUGCCCAAACUUAAAAGAGAGAUAGCGAGAGAAACUUUAUGAUGUGCUAGUCAAAGCCAGAAACAUCAGUGUGUCAUUCCAUGCAUUCAUUAUUUUUGUAAAUUGUCUUCUUGUUUUUUUCACUCAUGAUUUUUGAAUAGUUAUAAGGAGCUGAGUCUUAAAGAUGCUUUAUCGAAUUCUCUGAGGUUCACUUUUAUAUAAUCCUCCUAAUAUCCAGUGAAUGGUCAUAAAAUCCAAGUGUUGUCAACACUGAUUAGAUUAAACUUAUUAUAUUAACUUAGUUAAAAUAAUUCAUUACAUUGAGUAUUUUGUUUUCUUUGGUUAGUGUUGCAUAUAACUGAAAGGAAUUUUUUUAUCCUCAUUGUGAUUUUCUGUCGAAGUUGUGAGUAGCAACCCUUGUAUCAUUUGAGCACUGAAGAAAGAUAUUGAGUGUGUAAAUGAUCCUACCUUCUACAGAUUAAAUAAAGGGUCCAAUAAAAAAGGUAUUCCCUACAGCAGAAUAAAAUUAAACUGUUCAGCACCUGUAGCAACUCUUUGUAGUGUCUAUUAAAAAUUAAAUUUUUGAAAUGUUUUAUGGU